rnacentral:rRNA from 1 species
GAUGAACGCUGGCGGCGUGCCUAAUACAUGCAAGUCGAGCGAACAGACGAGGAGCUUGCUCCUCUGACGUUAGCGGCGGACGGGUGAGUAACACGUGGAUAACCUACCUAUAAGACUGGGAUAACUUCGGGAAACCGGAGCUAAUACCGGAUAAUAUAUUGAACCGCAUGGUUCAUUAGUGAAAGACGGUUUUGCUGUCACUUAUAGAUGGAUCCGCGCCGCAUUAGCUAGUUGGUAAGGUAACGGCUUACCAAGGCAACGAUGCGUAGCCGACCUGAGAGGGUGGUCGGCCACACUGGAACUGAGACACGGUCCAGACUCCUACGGGAGGCCGCAGUAGGGUAUCUUCCGCAAUGGGCGAAAGCCUGACGGAGCAACGCCGCGUGAGUGAUGAAGGUCUUCGGAUCGUAAAACUCUGUUAUUAGGGAAGAACAAAUGUGUAAGUAACUAUGCACGUCUUGACGGUACCUAGUCAGAAAGCCACGGCUAACUACGUG